UUUCUUUGUAAGGGAAGAUGAUUCUGCAAUUACAUGGAAUUUGUGGUUGAGAGUAUGCUGUGCAGGGAGAUGGAGGAAGACGUCGUGUGAGCUUUCUUCAUGGCUCUUCUGGCCUCAGCUUCCAGCUUGGUUUCUGGUUUUGGAUGAUCAUGUUCUCCCUUUGACUUAAAGGAGACAAGGAAACAAUAUAAUAACUAACUAGAUUGUGCAUCAUGGUGUGUAAGUUUUCACUC